rnacentral:tRNA from 2 species
GCAUUCCGUGGCACGUACGGGCACGAAAGCAUCGGACUUCUAAUCCGACGGUCGCAGGUUCGAAUCCUGCCGGGUGCGCCA